UUGCAAUGCAUGUAUUUUGUUUUCGUUCUACUUAACUUGCAAUGCAUACUAUCUGUCCUAUGAAUUUCUGUGUCCGUCACUACUGAAGCCUUCUCUAAAAAAAAAGGCAGCAACCACAAUAAUAUCCUAUUGAAGCCAAAGGAUCAAUAACAGAUAUUGAUAAAUUAAGUUUUGUUUUCUGUUUGCCCUUCCAUGGUCAUUUUUAUUGACCAGCAAAUUUUUGGGAUGA
rnacentral:misc_RNA from 1 species